ACCCUCCGGCACUGGCUCCAUCUGUCAUAGAAUGUCUCUUCUUCAGAGUGGGCAGAGACAUCAGUGAGCCAAAGGCGAUACAGACUGAGCGUCGCGAUACAGCAGUUUCGCAUGGAAGAAUCUCACACAACCAAAUUAAUUCAGCAAUUAUCCUGACAUCCUGCUAACAUGCUACACAACCUUACGGCCCCAGAUUUGUUGAAGGCUGGUAAUGGGUUAAGAAGAAACCUUUUGCUGCUGUUCUGGUGUGUCCUAGAUGCCAGCUGAGGACCUACAUGAUGUGUUUCUCAUGUAUGUGAAUCCCCAUCAGGACCAUCUGCCAGUGCUUGGACAUGAGCCAUUACAGAAGGUGAUAUAAAAUCAGAUGUCAGGUGAGUUACCUCCAGCUUCUUUAUUGCCAGAUCAGCAGUCCCAAGGUCAGAAGCUGCACUCAGAGUCUCAGUGCGUCAGCGCUUU